GAUGAACGCUAGCUACAGGCUUAACACAUGCAAGUCGAGGGGAAACGAUAUUGGAAGCUUGCUUCCGAUAGGCGUCGACCGGCGCACGGGUGAGUAACGCGUAUCCAACCUGCCCACCACUUGGGGAUAACCUUGCGAAAGUAAGACUAAUACCCAAUGAUAUCUCUAGAAGACAUCUGAAGGAGAUUAAAGAUUUAUCGGUGAUGGAUGGGGAUGCGUCUGAUUAGCUUGUUGGCGGGGUAACGGCCCACCAAGGCGACGAUCAGUAGGGGUUCUGAGAGGAAGGUCCUCCACAUUGGAACUGAGACACGGUCCAAACUCCUACGGGAGGCAGCAGUGAGGAAUAUUGGUCAAUGGGCGAGAGCCUGAACCAGCCAAGUAGCGUGCAGGAUGACGGCCCUAUGGGUUGUAAACUGCUUUUAUAAGGGAAUAAAGUGAGCCUCGUGAGGCUUUUUGCAUGUACCUUAUGAAUAAGGACCGGCUAAUUCCGUGCCAGCAGCCGCGGUAA
rnacentral:rRNA from 1 species